rnacentral:lncRNA from 1 species
UGUAACUCUCCCGACGACCCCAUGACGCAGCUGGUUCCCCUUGUUUUCUACGUAAGGAAAGGAAGACUCGGCAACGGUGAAUCCCUGCUCCAGGUCACCCAGCCGGGAAGUGGCAGGGCGGUGGGGGGGGGGGGGAGGGGGGGGCCGCCCAAACAGAAGGUUUUGCCCUUGAGGAUUUAAAAAACCCACUACCACUCUUCAUCCAUCCGUCUGGCUUUUUAAGUUUGACAAGGUGAUCUGUGCACAAGGUCACAAAGAUCAGCACAUACAAAGAGGAGCAGAUGUAAGAAACUCCUCCCUGUUCCACAGUCUGCAUCUCCACCGGGGCCCGACAGCAUUGCCACGGCCUCCUGUGAAGUCGCGACGGGUCACGCCGGUGCAAGCCCUCAUCCUCUGCGCCUGCCUCUACCCCGACACCCGACCACAGAGAUAGAAAUACACUAUUUACUCUCCUCUCCGCCUGGCUUUUUAAUUUAUAUAUCCCUAAUAUAUAUAUAUCACAUAUACAUGUGGGUAUGUAUAUAAGUAUAUGUAAUUUAUGCAUAUAUGUGUAUAUUAAGUGUAUUAUAAUAUAUAAAUGUAACAUAUUAAAAUACAAAAUAUGUA